GACGAACGCUGGCGGCGUGCUUAACACAUGCAAGUCGAACGAAGUGGCGAACGGGUGAGUAAUACGUGGGUAACCUGCCCUCCUUUUUGGGAUAAGCCUUGGAAACGGGGUCUAAUACCGAAUAAAGGGGGAUGGGCUCGCGGCCUAUCAGCUUGUUGGUGGGGUGAUGGCCUACCAAGGCGGUGACGGGUAGCCGGCCUGAGAGGGUGACCGGCCACAUUGGGACUGAGAUACGGCCCAGACUCCUACGGUGGGCAGCAGUGGGGGAUAUUGCACAAUGGGCGAAAGCCUGAUGCAGCGACGCCGCGUGGGGGAUGAAGGCUUAUGGGUCGUAAACUUCUUUUAUAUAAGAAUAUGUAUUAUAUGAAUAAGGAUCGGCUAACUCCGUGCCAGCAGCCGCGGUAAUUC
rnacentral:rRNA from 1 species